GACGAACGCUGGCGGCGUGCUUAACACAUGCAAGUCGAACGGAGUGGCGAACGGGUGAGUAACACGUGGGUGACCUGCCCUGCACUUCGGGAUAAGCCUGGGUAACUGGGUCUAAUACCGGAUAGUGUGGGAGGGGCCCGCGGCCUAUCAGCCUGUUGGUGGGGUAAUGGCCUACCAAGGCGGCGACGGGUUGCCGGCCUGAGGGGGUGGGCGGCCAAAUUGGGACUGAGACACGGCCCAGACUCCGACGGGAGGCAGAAGUGGGGAAUAUUGCACAAUGGGCGGAAGCCUGAUGCAGGGACGACGCGUGGGGGAUGGCGGCCUUCGGGUUGUAAACUCCUUCCACCAUCGACGCGGUAGAUGGAGAAGAAGCACCGGCUAACUACGUGCCAGCAGCCGCGGUAAUUC
rnacentral:rRNA from 1 species